rnacentral:rRNA from 1 species
GAUGAACGCUGGCGGCGUGCUUAACACAUGCAAGUCGAACGAUGACCUCCAGCUUGCUGGGGUGAUUAGUGGCGAACGGGUGAGUAACACGUGAGUAACCUGCCCUUAACUCUGGGAUAA